GCCCUGGCUGGGCGGUCUGCCUCACGGUAUGUACUGUCUGGCUGGGGCUUACCUCUUGGUGAGCUUGCAUGUCGUUUACUCGGCGUGUAAGGGAACCAGGACUUUUACCUUGAGAAAAUUAGAGUGUUUAAAGCAGGCAUAAGCUUGAAUACGUUAGCAUGGAAUAAUAGAAUAGGACUU
rnacentral:rRNA from 1 species